rnacentral:rRNA from 1 species
GCUGAGACACGACGUCGAGCUACUACGGUAGUGAAGUCAUUGAUGCCAUGCUUCCAGGAAAAGCCUCUAAGCUUCAGAUUGUAAGGAAUCGUACCCCAAACCGACACAGGUGGUCGGGUAGAGAAUACCAAGGCGCUUGAGAGAACUCGGGUGAAGGAACUAGGCAAAAUGGUACCGUAACUUCGGGAGAAGGUACGCUCUUGAUGGUGAAGUCCCUUGCGGAUGGAGCUGACGAGAGUCGCAGAUACCAGGUGGCUGCAACUGUUUAUUAAAAACACAGCACUGUGCAAAAUCGUAAGAUGACGUAUACGGUGUGACGCCUGCCCGGUGCCGGAAGGUUAAUUGAUGGGGUUAGCGUAAGCGAAGCUCUUGAUCGAAGCCCCGGUAAACGGCGGCCGUAACUAUAACGGUCCUAAGGUAGCGAAAUUCCUUGUCGGGUAAGUUCCGACCUGCACGAAUGGCGUAAUGAUGGCCACGCUGUCUCCACCCGAGACUCAGUGAAAUUGAAAUCGCUGUGAAGAUGCAGUGUACCCGCGGCUAGACGGAAAGACCCCGUGAACCUUUACUACAGCUUGGCACUGAACAUUGAACCUACAUGUGUAGGAUAGGUGGGAGGCUUUGAAGACGUGACGCCAGUUGCGUUGGAGCCGUCCUUGAAAUACCACCCUUGUAUGUUUGAUGUUCUAACGUUGGCCCCUAAUCGGGGUUGCGGACAGUGCCUGGUGGGUAGUUUGACUGGGGCGGUCUCCUCCCAAAGAGUAACGGAGGAGCACGAAGGUGGGCUAAUCACGGUUGGACAUCGUGAGGUUAGUGCAAUGGCAUAAGCCCGCUUAACUGCGAGAAUGACGGUUCGAGCAGGUGCGAAAGCAGGUCAUAGUGAUCCGGUGGUUCUGAAUGGAAGGGCCAUCGCUCAACGGAUAAAAGGUACUCCGGGGAUAACAGGCUGAUACCGCCCAAGAGUUCAUAUCGACGGCGGUGUUUGGCACCUCGAUGUCGGCUCAUCACAUCCUGGGGCUGAAGUCGGUCCCAAGGGUAUGGCUGUUCGCCAUUUAAAGUGGUACGCGAGCUGGGUUUAGAACGUCGUGAGACAGUUCGGUCCCUAUCUGCCGUGGGCGUUGGAAGAUUGAAGGGGGCUGCUCCUAGUACGAGAGGACCGGAGUGGACGAACCUCUGGUGUUCGGGUUGUGUCGCCAGACGCAUUGCCCGGUAGCUAAGUUCGGAAUCGAUAACCGCUGAAAGCAUCUAAGCGGGAAGCGAGCCCUGAGAUGAGUCUUCCCUGAUACUUUAAGUAUCCU